rnacentral:rRNA from 1 species
UACAGAGGGUGCGAGCGUUAAUCGGAAUUACUGGGCGUAAAGCGUGCGUAGACGGUUAUUUAAGUCGGGUAUGAAAGCCCCGGGCUCAACCUGGGAAUUGCAUUCGAGACUGAAUAGCUAGGGUACGGUAGAGGGAAGCGGAAUUUCCGGUGUAGCGGUGAAAUGCGUAGAUAUCGGAAGGAACAUCAGUGGCGAAAGCGGCUUCCUGGACCAGUACCGACGUUCAGGCACGAAAGCGUGGGGAGCAAACAGG